rnacentral:piRNA from 1 species
UACGAGACUGACAAGAUUGACCAUUUCAGCU